UACGUAGGCAGCAAGCGUUGUUCGGAAUCACUGGGCGUAAAGGGUGCGUAGGCGGGUCUUUAAGUCAGGGGUGAAAUCCUGGAGCUCAACUCCAGAACUGCCUUUGAUACUGAGAAUCUUGAGUUCGGGAGAGGUGAGUGGAACUGCGAGUGUAGAGGUGAAAUUCGUAGAUAUUCGCAAGAACACCAGUGGCGAAGGCGGCUCACUGGCCCGAUACUGACGCUGAGGCACGAAAGCGUGGGGAGCAAACAGG
rnacentral:rRNA from 1 species